UUUCUGUAGGUGAACCUGCGGAAGGAUCAUUCAUAAUAAAGUGUUUUAUGGCACUUUUUAAAAAUCCAUAUCCACCUUGUGUGCAAUGUUAGAUCUCGUCAAUCUUGGCGAGAUUUUUAUACAUCAACUCAUUCCUUAACUAAUUUGUCUGAAAAAUAUUAUGAAUACAUAAUUCAAAAUACAACUUUCAACAACGGAUCUCUUGGCUCUC
rnacentral:misc_RNA from 1 species